UACGGAGGGUGCAAGCGUUAAUCGGAAUUACUGGGCGUAAAGCGCGCGUAGGUGGCUGGAUAAGCCGGUUGGGAAAGCCCCGGGCUGAACCUGGGAACGGCAUCCGGAACUGUCAAGCUAGCGUGCAGGAGAGGAAGGUAGAAUUCCCGGUGUAGCGGUGAAAUGCGUAGAGAUCGGGCGGAAUACCAGUGGCGAAGGCGGCCUUCUGGACUGACACUGACGCUGAGGUGCGAAAGCGUGGGUAGCAAACAGG
rnacentral:misc_RNA from 1 species